AUGGCCAUAUCAUAUCGAAAACAUCAGUUCUCGUCCGAUCAUCUAAGUUAAGAAACGUUGGGCCUGGUCAGUACUUGGGAGGGUGACGGGGAAACCUCCAUACGAGCGAUAUCU